rnacentral:rRNA from 1 species
GAGACUCUGUGCGCGUGCAUAUCAAUAAGCGGAGGAAAAGAAACUAACAAGGAUUCCCCUAGUAACGGCGAGUGAAGCGGGAAGAGCUCAAAUUUGAAAUCUUAAAGGGUUUCCCUUUACGAAUUGUAGUUUAAAGAAGUGUUUUCUGUCGAAGUUUUGGUAAAAGUUCUUUGGAAUAGGACAUCAUAGAGGGUGAGAAUCCCGUAUUUGACCAUUAUUUUCAGCUGUGUGAUACACUUUCAAAGAGUCGGAUUGUUUGGGAAUGCAGUCCAAAAUGGGUGGUAAAUUUCAUCUAAAGCUAAAUAUUGGCGAGAGACCGAUAGCGAACAAGUACCGUGAGGGAAAGAUGAAAAGAACUUUGAAAAGAGAGUUAAACAGUACGUGAAAUUGUCAAAAGGGAAGCGUUUGACACCAGUGUUGUUUAGUUGAAAAUCAAUUCAAUAGUUUUUGAUCCUAAGUAGUAUUGACUUCAUCAGCUUGCUGCUUUCUUCUCAGAAAUUAUUGAAUGCACUUUUCAGUUAACAAGUCAACAUCAAUUUCUUUUGUUGUAAAAGGGUAAGAGGAAGGUGGCUUGCGCUUCGGCUCAAGUGUUUAUAGCCUUUUAUCUCUGCAAUCGGAGAGACUGAGGUCUGCAGCGUAGAUCCUUCGGGGUUAGAUACAUUGGUGCUAAGCUAUAGCCUUGUAUAGACAACUUGUUGACUAUGCUCAGUCAUGUAGCUUACUCGCUGAUGCUAUUUUACCUACGCUUAGGAUGUUGACAGCAGUAUAGACUGU